rnacentral:tRNA from 1 species
GCGACUAUAGUAUAAUGGCUAUUAUGUCUGCCUUCCAAGCAGAUGAUAGGGGUUCGAAUCCCCUUAGUCGCUCCA